rnacentral:rRNA from 1 species
AACGAACGCUGGCGGCAGGCUUAACACAUGCAAGUCGAGCGCCCCGCAAGGGGAGCGGCAGACGGGGGAGUAACGCGUGGGAAUCUACCCAUCUCUACGGAAUAACGCAUGGAAACGGGUGCUGAUACCGUAUACGCCCUUCGGGAGAAAGAUUUAUCGGAGAUGGAUGAGCCGGCGUUGGAUUAGCUAGUUGGUGAGGUAAAGGCCUACCAAGGCGACGAUUCAUAGCUGGUCUGAGAGGGUGAUCAGCCACACUGGGACUGAGACACGGCCCAGACUCCUACGGGAGGCAGGAGUGGGGAAUAUUGGACAAUGGGCGCAAGCCUGGUCCAGCCAUGCCGCGUGAGUGAUGAAGGCCCUAGGGUUGUAAAGCUCUUUCACCGGUGAAGAUAAUGACGGUAACCGGAGAAGAAGCCCCGGCUAACUUCGUGCCAGCCGCCGCAGUAAAAC